rnacentral:rRNA from 1 species
AUGGUGGGCACUCUAAGGAGACUGCCGGUGACAAACCGGAGGAAGGUGGGGAUGACGUCAAGUCAUCAUGGCCCUUACGGCCUGGGCUACACACGUGCUACAAUGGUCGGUACAGAGGGUUGCCAAGCCGCGAGGUGGAGCUAAUCCCACAAAACCGAUCGUAGUCCGGAUCGCAGUCUGCAACUCGACUGCGUGAAGUCGGAAUCGCUAGUAAUCGC